rnacentral:rRNA from 1 species
CCUACGGGAGACAGCAGUGGGGAAUAUUGCACAAUGGGCGACAUCCUGAUGCAGCAACGCCGCGUGAAGGCAGACGGCCUUCGUGUCGUAAACUUCUGUCCUUGGGGAAGAAGAACUGACGGUACCCAAGGAGGAAGCCCCGGCUAACUAAGUGCCAGCAGCCGCGGUAAUACGUAGGGUGCAGGCGUUAUCCGGACUUAUUGGGCUUAAAGAGUACGUAGGUGGCAAUCUAAGCGCAGGGUUUAAGGCAAUGGCUCAACCAUUGUUCGCCCUGCGUACUGGGAUGCUUGAGUGCAGGAGAGGAAAGCGGAAUUACUAGUGUAGCGGUGAAAUGCGGAGAUAUUAGGAGGAACACCAGUGGCGAAGGCGGCUUUCUGGACUGUAACUGACACUGAGGUACGAAAGCGUGGGGAGCAAACAGGAUUAGAUACCCCUGUAGUC